GGGAGUUUGGUGGACUAUCUUCGAUCACGUGGUCGUUCGGUGCUAGGCGGAGACUGUCUCCUCAAAUUCUCACUAGACGUCUGUGAAGCCAUGGAGUACCUGGAGGGUAACAAUUUUGUGCACCGGGACUUGGCUGCCCGGAAUGUGCUGGUGUCUGAGGACAACGUGGCCAAAGUCAGUGACUUUGGCCUCACUAAGGAAGCUUCCAGCACUCAGGACACAGGCAAACUGCCAGUCAAGUGGACAGCUCCUGAAGCCUUGAGAGAGAAGGUGAGCAAGGGUCCUGGAGUCACCCCCUCUUCUGAGCUGCCUGGGGUCCAAUGCUGAUUCUCUUAUCCACGUGGCAGAAAUUUUCCACCAAGUCUGAUGUGUGGAGUUUCGGAAUCCUUCUCUGGGAAAUCUAUUCCUUCGGGCGAGUGCCUUACCCAAGAAUUGUGAGUAUGGGUCUGGUAGCCAGUGUGUGGCUGAAGCCCAGGGUGGGGUGGCAAGAGUAGCAUCCAUGGGACCUGCCUCCCUGGCUGGAGCUUAGUACCUCUGGUCUGUCCUGAGUACCUUCCAGGCCAUUCCCUGAUCUGGGCCUGAGGCAGGGCUGAAGGCCCUUCUUAGAGAGGGAUUUCUGGGUAGGGCUCCCUUCUGCUGUAAGACACUGAAUUCAUACACCACCUGCACACAGCCCCUGAAGGACGUCGUCCCUCGGGUGGAAAAGGGCUAUAAGAUGGACGCUCCGGAUGGCUGCCCACCCGCAGUCUAUGAUGUUAUGAAGAACUGCUGGCACCUGGAUGCUGCCACGCGGCCCACCUUUCUGCAGCUUCGAGAGCAGCUCGAGCACAUCAGAACCCAUGAGCUGCACCUGUGACCUCUGCCUCCACCUAGGCCAUGGCCUUGCAGGGAUGGGGCCUAGAAGAUACAGAUUUGGUGCCCUGCUGCUUGCUGGGCCUGAACUUGAACUGAGCCCCAGCGGGCUGGUAGGCUUCUUGCCUCUGACCUGCCUGUCCCUUCUGGCCCCCCAGAGACCCCACCUAGGCCUGGCAUCUUCUCUCAUGGACCCACCUAUAGGGCUUAGGGCGCCCACUGAAGGGGCUGAGAAGAGAGGAGGCCGAGGAGCGGGAGGCAGUGCUCCUGUGGUCGGCCUUCUCUCGGCCCCAUCAUUCGCCUUCUUAGAGUUUUAUUCCUUUCCUUUUUUGAGAUUUUUUUCCGUGUGUUUAUUUUUUAUUAUUUUUCAACAUAAGGAGAAAGAAAGUACCCAGCAAAUGGGCAUUUUACAAGAAGUACGAAUCUUAUUUUUCCUGUCCUGCCCCUGGGGGUGGGGAGGAAUCAGCCUCUCUCUAGGGACCCAUCACCCCAGCCUGUCCCCCAUCCUGUGUUCCAUGUCCAGUGUUGCCUCGGUCGCCUAUGUUUGCGCUUGACCAUGUGCGCUGUUUGCAUGUGCCCAAGGCAGGCAUCUGUCAGGGGCUUGGAUUUCAUGUGCUGUGGCCGCUCACCCACACUGCCUUGUGAGAUGGAAUCGUAAUAAACCACUCCAUGAGGACACCGCCACCCAGCCUCGGCGCUUCCUCCGCC
rnacentral:lncRNA from 1 species